AAUCCUCAACCUCAUAUUCCUUGUGAACGUGAGGUUGGAUGUGGAAGUUUGCUGGCCUCGCGGUCAGCUCUUCUGAAAUGCAUUAGCAGGGCCGCUGUAUUGUGAGGCUGUCGCUUGGUAUUGAUAGUUGUCUUACCAGGUUUCAGAGUUAGCAAUGUGCCCCAGCUUCUAGUCGUCUCUCUGGGACAAUAACUUGACG
rnacentral:misc_RNA from 1 species